UACGUAGGGUGCGAGCGUUGUCCGGGAUUAUUGGGCGUAAAGAGCUUGUAGGCGGUUUGUCGCGUCUGCUGUGAAAAUCCGGGGCUCAACCCCGGACUUGCAGUGGGUACGGGCAGACUAGAGUGUGGUAGGGGAGACUGGAAUUCCUGGUGUAGCGGUGAAAUGCGCAGAUAUCAGGAGGAACACCGAUGGCGAAGGCAGGUCUCUGGGCCACUACUGACGCUGAGAAGCGAAAGCAUGGGGAGCGAACAGG
rnacentral:rRNA from 1 species